rnacentral:rRNA from 1 species
AUUGAACGCUGGCGGCAUGCUUUACACAUGCAAGUCGAACGGUAACAGGCCUUCGGGUGCUGACGAGUGGCGAACGGGUGAGUAAUGCAUCGGAACGUACCCAGAGGUGGGGGAUAACGCAGCGAAAGCUGUGCUAAUACCGCAUGUGAUCUGAGGAUGAAAGCGGGGGACCGAGCAGCAAUGUUUGGCCUCGCGCCUUUGGAGCGGCCGAUGUCGGAUUAGCUAGUUGGUGGGGUAAAGGCCUACCAAGGCGACGAUCCGUAGCUGGUCUGAGAGGACGACCAGCCACACUGGGACUGAGACACGGCCCAGACCCCUACGGGAGGCAGCAGUGGGGAAUUUUGGACAAUGGGCGCAAGCCUGAUCCAGCAAGGCCGCGUGCGGGAAGAAGGCCUUCGGGUUGUAAACCGCUUUUGGCAGGAACGAAACGGUGUCCGCUAAUACCGGGCGCUAAUGACGGUACCUGCAGAAUAAGCACCGGCUAACUACGUG